rnacentral:rRNA from 1 species
GUGCCAGCAGCCGCGGUAAUACCGGCAGCCCGAGUGAUGGCCGAUCUUAUUGGGCCUAAAGCGUCCGUAGCUGGCCGCGCAAGUCCAUCGGGAAAUCCACCCGCCCAACGGGUGGUCGUCCGGUGGAACCUGUGUGGCUUGGGACCGGAAGGCGCGACGGGUACGUCCGGGGUAGGAGUGAAAUCCCGUAAUCCUGGACGGACCGCCGGUGGCGAAAGCGCCUCGGGAGGACGGACCCGACGGUGAGGGACGAAAGCCAGGGUCUCGAACCGGAUUAGAAACCCGUGUAGUCC